GGAAGCGCCACGCAGCCCUAAUCUCCUUCCCACCUCUUCCCUCAGCCGCCGCACUUACCAUCCCCAUCCUCUCGCACCGGAUCCCGAACCUACGCCGCCGCCCAGUGCCUCGCCCCAUCUUCUUCAUCCUCACUGCCCCGCCCAUCGUCGCCGCCCCAUCCCCUUCAUCGCCCAUGCCGCCGCCAAGUGCCGUCGCGCUCGCAUCCCCCACCCACGAUGCCGUCUCCGCAUCCCCAUCCACGCCGCCGCCGGAUGUCAGCGGCGAGUUUGGGGGCGACCUCCACGAACCGCCUGGCGGUCUCGCCUCCAGAGAAUGCAGUCGAGGUGGGUUCAGCCUGGCGACCGCGGCGAGUUGGGGGGCGACCUCCACGAACCGCCUGGCGAUCUCGGCAGGUUCGUUCACCUUGGCGGCCGCGCUGGCGGGUGGGCCUGGUCUUCGGCGCCCUCUACCCGCCCUUCAUCUCUUGAUGCCUAUGGCGUGCCCCCACCAUCUUGGGCAAUCCUGCAGGUCCAGCUCCCACAAUCUCUCAUUUCUUCAGCUUUCCUCAGCAUGUGUCUGUACUCUGUAAGAUGCUCCCUCUUCUACCUUUUCAUUCCUCUGUUCUGCUUCUUGCGAAUAGUAACUGUAUGUAUGGUCCGGAUAAAAUUUAUUGUGAGAGUUUUUCUGCAUUAUAACUAUGUACUAAAUAUGCUCUGUUUUAGUCUCUCAUUCCCUUUAAAAUCAAAUCCCCACCCCAGACAUAUCUUAAUCAAUCAAAUUUAAUGUCCUGUUAAAAAAUUUCUGCAGUGCAAAAAGCCCUUUUGAUUCUGGGGUCAUUGCCUUAAAACAAAUAAUCAUUCUAGUUGGUCUUCAGAUAUUUUGUUUGCGGUUCUGAAUAUACAGGGAGCCAGUAGAAGUGACAGAACAUGGGCUUUUGUGCAGUAAUGCAUGGCUCAAGUUUGCUCUGUCUAGAAGCUGCUACUAGCAAAUGCAGAUGUGGCCAGAUGACAUCGUGUCAAUUGAGUUUGAGUCAGCUAGCAUAAAGAUUUUGCUCUCAAAUGUUGUUCUUUAGUUAUACUACUUAAUAACACAUUUUGUGCCCUGUGGCGUGUUUGUGAGAUACUGAGAAGUCUUGCUUCUUUCAUUGCGUAGCUAGCCUUUUCUCCUAAAAUUUACAUGUGGGUGAACAAAUUGACCAGAAUACUAUGUGCCAUAAAUUCACCUUUUUUCCUAACAGACUUAUACUUAGCACUGUGAUCUUUGUAGACAAAACCUUGAUGGGUCGAAAGCUGUCCAGAUGCAUCGUGAAUGAUGGUUGAGAUGUGGUGCAAAAAGGAAUGGAAAGAAACUUGUGCUUGCAGGGAGCGGAAGCGGAUGUGAUUGGGGGUCACCAUCAAGAGAGUGCUUCCGUGGCUCGCUACGAAAGGAAAUAUAUGGAACACCCCGGGUAGUUAGCGCAUGUUUUGCUCAUGCUCCUGGCAAAUCCUUUUGGGUCAGAAAGCUUCUGCGUUCUGGUAUGCUCCAUUGCUCCUUGGUAAUUUUUAUUCAGAGUGGCUAGUUUCUACUCAUUCCUGUUUCGGUCUUUAAGAAUAGUUUGGAAACUUAAAUGAGGAUGUGUUGCUUUCUGCAACAUCUGUAAGCUAUGUUGUUAAAUAUUGUUUCUUAAAUUACUGCAGAGUUAAGGUUCUUUUUUCCCACUGUAUUGCUUUAAAGAAUAAGGCCUUAAAGGGUGUGUCUUUAAAACUCUACUAGUAUUGUUGUACAUUUAUUAUUCUUGUUGCCGUCACUAGGCAUUUUCAAUAUAUUUAUUUGAUAUUCAGAGAAUAAGUAGUUUAUAUGUAUUAUAUGCUGGACGAAAAAAAUUCCAUAUAUAAACAUGCCAUGGCUAAUUGGUAAUUUUGCUACAUGUUGGAUGCUUUUUUGACCUUCUGGGAGAUAUGAUAUAUGAGCAAGUGUUUCAAACUUUUGACCUUUUCGUUAAGUUUAUAUAUAAACUACUACCCUUUGAAUAUAUGAGAAUGAAUGCCAUGUGAUAAAAGUUAACCUUGCUUACUGUACUGUGAACUGAACCUGCCUUUUGUCUCUUGGGAUGUUGAAAUUUCUUAAAUUUCUAUUACUGCAUGCAGACAAAUCUAUUAGCUAAGCUUCCGCGGAGCUUAGCUAAUCGCUACAACUCUGUUGUUCUUAAAAUUCUAUUAUCAUCUAGGUUGAGCAUUCGUAUCAUAGUAUUUGCGUGAACUAUGGUUUGGACUGUGAACAAUGCAAAGCUUCUUUAUUUGGUAAAUAAAUGCAUAGACAAUAGAGGAAUCAUUUGAGUAGUUCUAUGGCAUGGUUUGAGAUCUUCUGUAGUGCAGAGUUUUCUUGCAUUGCUUUGCCUGCGUAGAAUCCACUUCCUCGUCACAUUUUUCAUUUUCUCAGAUGCACAGAAGGUAAUCUAUGUCACUUUUCUCCAUCUCCAUUGCUUAAUGCUCAUUCCUUUACAUUAGUGCAUCUAAGUGGACCAUCUAUUAGUAAUGAGUGUAUGUGUUUUCAUUCCAGUAAAUAAAUAAUAAGCAAUUACAUUUGAGAUGACUAGGCCUUAUAUCUGAUUCACUCAAACAAUUAAAUGCAUUGUUAAAUGUAAAAGCCACAUUGUAAAUUGCUAAGAUCAUUGUUUGUUUAUAACCUGAUAUUUGUUCUGUAAUCUUUUAUCUGGUUGAAGCGAUGGAGUCUAGUGAGUAGGUUGUGCUUUUAUUAAAUACUUGUGAGAUGUCGUAAUUGGUUUGCUUCUUUUUUCAGGUCUGCUCUUGCACCCACAAGUUUUUAGCUGUGUGUUUUGCGAGCUAAAAGGACCUAUUUGUAGAAUAUAACUCGGCUUUGGAUUUUAAUAUCUUCUGAUGGAGUAGCACUCUAGGAUGGAAUCAAUUUCUAACUGAAACUAGAUGUAUACUGGAGACUUGAACCUAUAGAUGUAUGUAUGUAUACAUGUUGGUUUGUUGUCCUUUUGGCUGUGAUGUAGUACUGGACUUAUGAACCUGUAUGUAUGCUGUGAUGCAGUACUAGACUCGUGUCCUACAAAUGUAUACAUAUGUAUGUAUGCAGACGUGAUGUAUUGUUGAGAUAUAUAUUAUGAUGCAACCUUAGUUGACAUA